AGGAAAGUUUUCCUCUCUUUGAACAAUUGGUUAGGGUCCCUGGGGAUGGGUCAUACUUGCAAAGUCUAGCAGAAAAUUUCAUAGGAUAUACAUCCUUAGAAGUUUUGUGCUGACUGUGUGGAUGCACUAUUUGGAGUGGUUGAGUUCAUGGCUGUCAUAAUGAGCACAUUUUUCCACUCCUCCCUUUUAUUAAGAGGCCAUUGGUUCUGGUUUUGAAAUUCAGUUUCUCCAGAGCAAAUUGGAGGUGGAUAUUUGAUCACAAAGACUCUCAGAUUCCCUUCUUUAUGUCCCAUCCCUGCCUCCUCUAAAUUCCAUUGUUAUAGUGCAGGUGCACAGAUAUAGGGUACUUUUGAAAUAUACUGACUGCCCUUUGCAUUUGGGGGCUGACAGAGAUGAGAGGCAAUGGAGAAGGGCCCUGUGUCUCUGAAGAAGCUCUUUCAGAGGCAAUCUGAGGACUCUUGUAUGUGUUCUUGCACAAGGGAGAAGAAUCCAGGUUGCCCAUGACCUUUCUACCCACUACUCUCGAGUCUCCUUGGGACUCCUUCCAACCUAGACAUGAGCUACUGUUCUUGCACAGCCUCUGCGGAGUCUCAGUGGCUGUGGCUAUGAGAAGAGUUAAUUGGUGCACUCUCAGCCUGGGCACUGGGUAAGUGCACGAGGAACGCACUCCCCCCAUCUCUCUCAAGUACUUCUAGGCCUACCGCAGGAGGCUGAGCUGCCUCUGCUGACCAACCACUGAUUUCUUGGAGCAAGAGACUGUUGUUUCUCAGCAUUAAGAUGGUGUGGGUUAUGUUAUGUGGAGUUAUUAAGGCAAUAUGAAGGGGUGAUUUUGGAGAGUUUAUGUUAUCUACACUUCAAUUUUCAUGUGCAAGAGAAUCACCCUAGGUUCCUGUUAAAACACCAGUUCAUAGAACCCUAGGAGAUUCUGUCUACUUAAGUUCAGAGAAAGUUAAGUCUUUACAGUUAUGGGACAGCCUGUUUGCUUAUUUCAUAGAGAAUGGGCAAAGCUCUGUAAUUUGCCACAUACUCACCUGUGACUGGUGGGCAUGGCAGGCAUUUACAGAUCCAGGGCUCUUGGCUCCCAGAGAACAACUCUUUCUUCCUCUGUAGCCCAGAGGCAGCACGUGGAACACCAGUGUGGGAGAGGCAGCCUGUGAGUAUUGAGGCUUAGCUGAGUCUGCGUGCUGUGAAUGGCAUAGUUCUAAUCUAGCAAAUUGUUCGAGGAGCUUGGUUAAUGCUGUCCUCACAGCUGCAGCUGCUUGAAGGGAGCGGCUCCUCCCUGCAUGUGCACUCAGGCUCGCACACGCACAUGUGCAAGGGCACUUUUCCUUCUGUAAGGCUCAAAUUGGCCUCCUUGUUCCGACUCAAAGCAGCUGUUUAUUUGUUGUUCUUGUGUUUUCAACUGUUGUGAUGAGGUUUGCUUCCCUCUUCUUUAACUGAAUUACGUGCAGUUUAGCUCUUCAGUGCAAGCUGCUGAUUGAGCUGGAUCCUUCUGUCGUGUAGGCUUCAGGUUCCUCCUUAUCCGACAGGAACUGCACAGACGAGGGCUACUUGGGUUCAGAGGCACCGACAAGGAAAGGAGAGAGACACAGCCACUUCUGCUGUUCCCCUUCAUCUGUCUGUGGAGAUGCAACUCUAAAUGAGCCAGGCAGGCAGCUGGGGUUGCAUGGCCUACAGGAACACAUCCUUUCCCCCUAAAAUGUCUCUAGACCCUCAGCGAGUGGUUGGAAGUUCAAGCAUCGAGAUCUAUCCAGUUUGUCUUAGUUUACUUUUGGCUGAUGCCACCGAGGUGACUUAUUGUAGCUGAAUGGAAUUUUUGGGAACUCCCUCAUAAACAGAAAAUAUAGGGUGUUGAGAUUCUGGUAGCAUAGACUAAAUAUCUCAGACUUUUCCUUCACUCUCUUGGGCCUUAAGUUCAGACAGAGGUCUCAAAGGGUCCAGAGAAGUUGUGCCACUCAAGAGUUUAUUUCAUCUUCGUGUUGCUAAACGCUGGCCUUUGGUCCUGUUUCUGCCUCCCAACAGGAUAGAACCAAGACUACUUUCUACCAUGGAAUGUGGCUGUAGAGGCAUAUAUGUUGAUUCGUUAGGAGAGUGCCCAUUGUGUGAUCACCAGCAAUUGCUUCCCUUUGCUGACACUGAGACUUUUAAACAUCGAAAUGAGCCCGGUGAAACUUGCUAGCUGUAAUUCUCUAACCCCAAAUGUACGUAAUUGGCAUUCACAUCAAUUUCUCAUCUUCAUUUCUUCUUCGUAGUCCUGCAGUGUCAGUUUGGUAUCGUUGUGAGGAAGAACUUGACUUUAAGGUACAUCAGGCACAGUGAUGAGUUUAAUGAAGUUUAAACAGACUCCAAGAGAGCGCUGCCCCGCAAACCUGAACUUCACUAGGCAGUAGUGUACCUUGGAUCAGGAGAUCAAGACAGCAUUGUGUAGGCCAACCACCAGAGCAGGGUGGAGGUAAUCUAGAUCUAUCCUAUUGGGAGUCAGGAAGACAGGAACAGGACCAAAGCCUAGAAUCAAAGAACAGCCCACAAGGUUAGCAGGCAAAGUGAGAGUCCCACUGAUGCUCACAAGGGAUGCUGAAGGGACAGUCUGCAAAGCAGUGGUUAUUUUCUUCUCUGACUCCUGACAGGGUAUCAGCAGGACAGUGAUGUAUCCUGUUAGCAGCUAAGAGCCUCAGUUCCUGCCUCCAGAACCCCUACCAAGUAAACC
rnacentral:lncRNA from 1 species